UCAAGGAGGAAAAGUGAGCUUUCAACAGCCAGAAGCCUGAAGAACCUUGUCCUUCCAAGAAGCUUUGGGUUACCUGAAAAUAAAUUUGGAACUUUCCCAGACUGCUCUUGUAUUAGACCUCACCUCCCUUUCUGUUCUGGAAGAAGAAGAAAAUCAGCAGCUGAUUAAGAAAAUGUAAGAACAGCUCUACCACAGCAGACCAAGGCCUACCAUUUCAUUUUUUACACUGCAUCAUCAACUGUCUCUACCAUAGUCCUCACUAGCAAGAGCCACAGAUAUAACUCUCUCCCACGGUUAUCCCCUUGCAACUGGCAUGAAAGUAGGUAACUGAAGUCUCAAGUUGAUCGUUUAUGGUUGGAUCUGACUUCAUGAGUUACCUCCAAACACUUUUAAAGCUAUACAAUUUGAGGUGAUAAUGACAUCUUCUAAUAAAGGAAUUCCACAGAU